AUUGAACGCUGGCGGCAUGCCUUACACAUGCAAGUCGAACGGCAGCACGGGUGCUUGCACCUGGUGGCGAGUGGCGAACGGGUGAGUAAUACAUCGGAACAUGUCCUGUAGUGGGGGAUAGCCCGGCGAAAGCCGGAUUAAUACCGCAUACGAUCCACGGAUGAAAGCGGGGGACCUUCGGGCCUCGCGCUAUAGGGUUGGCCGAUGGCUGAUUAGCUAGGUGGUGGGGUAAAGGCCUACCAAGGCGACGAUCAGUAGCUGGUCUGAGCGGACGACCAGCCACACUGGGACUGAGACACGGCCCAGACUCCUACGGGAGGCAGCAGUGGGGAAUUUUGGACAAUGGGCGAAAGCCUGAUCCAGCAAUGCCGCGUGUGUGAAGAAGGACUGCGGGUUGUAAAGCUCUUUUGUCCGGAAAGAAAUCCUUGACUCUAAUACAGUCGGGGGAUGACGGUACCGGAAGAAUAAGCACCGGCUAACUACGUG
rnacentral:rRNA from 1 species